rnacentral:rRNA from 1 species
UACAGAGGGGGCAAGCGUUGUUCGGAAUUACUGGGCGUAAAGGGUUUGUAGGUGGCUUGUUAAGUCAGACGUGAAAUCCCUCAGCUUAACUGGGGAACUGCGUCUGAUACUGGCGAGCUUGAGUGCAGGAGAGGAACGCGGAAUUCCUGGUGUAGCGGUGAAAUGCGCAGAUAUCAGGAGGAACACCGGUGGCGAAGGCGGCCCCCCUGGACCGGUACUGACGCUGAGGCGCGAAAGCGUGGGUAGCAAACGGG